rnacentral:rRNA from 1 species
UACGUAGGGUGCAAGCGUUGUCCGGAAUUAUUGGGCGUAAAGGGCGCGUAGGCGGCACUGUUAGUCAGGCGUGAAAGUCCUGGGCUCAACCUGGGAACUGCGCUUGAUACGGCAGAGCUAGAGGAUGGAAGAGGCUCGCGGAAUUCCCAGUGUAGAGGUGAAAUUCGUAGAUAUUGGGAAGAACACCGGUGGCGAAGGCGGCGAGCUGGUCCAUUACUGACGCUGAGGCGCGACAGCGUGGGGAGCAAACAGG